rnacentral:rRNA from 1 species
AUGGCAAAGCAAAAGAAGAAGCCUGCUCCCAAGGAUCCUGCACAGUUUCAGAAGCAGCUGAAAAUGAAGCUAUCUAAUGAAUGCAGAAAAUAUGAAAUUUAUCUGAACCGUCAGGAUAUGGAUGAUCUCAAGAAAAUAGCAGAUAAACUGGACGAGGGAUAUUUCUGUUCGGAAGCAGAUAAAACAGUGGAAUUGGAAUUCUAUUCACAAGUUGAGCAGGAUAUUCGGAAGACCAUGAGGAAAGUUUAUGCACGUUCAUCGAAUUGGUCUAAGACUGAAAAGUUAGUUAAGGAGCUUGAUGCUACACUGAAAAUACUUACCGGGGAUGAGCAGAAGAGCCUUUAUGUAGCUGACACGAAGAAACAGCAACAAUUUGUACUUGCACGUAGCUGGCUGGAGAGCAUGCAGCAGAAGCAAAGCAGUUGUAAAAGAUGUGAAGAUCCUGAGCCAGAAUGUGAUGAAGAAACGCAGUAUUGGAUUAAUACUCUCAAUACUGGAAUUAUCCUUGACAAAACAUUAGUAGAACUUGAAGUUGAGAGGUCUACGUUGGAUUUAUUUAAAGAUACAGACAUUGAGCAAGUUUUCUUCAAUCCUCGUACAGCUUCUUUAGCUAAUCUCAUAAAUUAUAUGAGGGAUCGCUUGUGUGAAAAUUCUCAACAUCAAAUAUUUGCAUCAGGAGAAGAUUCAUGCCAUCUACUUCCUUUUAAGACAGCCCCUCAUCAACCACCAAAGUGGAUGUUGGUUGAACUGAGAGAUCAAAGUGCAAAAUGUGGUGUCUACAUGAGAGGCGAUAAUCUGUAUAUCACUGCUUUUCGCAACCAAAAGAAUAUGAUAUAUGAGCUCGUAGAGUCUGAUAAUUUGCGAAUAAUUGAAGGUUCCUUUGUAUUUGGUUGCAAUGCUGAUUACCCUGCACUUGUAAAAUAUGAUAGAGAAGUUGAGGAUCUUCCAAAAGAAGAAGCUGAUAGGCGAUUACUGGAAAUUAUCUUCAAUCUGGAGGAAAAUGCAGCUGAUGUUCAUCUGUUGGCUAAUUAUGACCACACACAAAAGAUGGAUGAUGCUGAGCGACGUCAAGCCAUUGAAAAUGUGCAGAAGGCGCUAAUUCGGAAAAUGGUGGUUUUAUCUGAGGUCUCACGUUUUGUGAACCUUUUUAUAGCUGUGAAUGCAGAUUGGAAUAACAGCAUUGCAUCUCUGACAAAAUUGCUGUUAACAUUUAUGAGGCGAUGGGGUCCAAUGUCGAAGAAAGUCCGUAACAGUAACAGCUCUGAUGUGCUUCCUAAAAGCUUGCAGGAUAAUCUUGGCUUGAAAUUUGUGUCUGACCUAAUCAAGGUUAUGCAUCUUGUGCUUAAUACAAAGCAUCCUGAACUUAAUAAAAUAGGACGCAGUACACCUGCUGAACCUUCUGGUGGCAUCCCUGAAGCGUCUGGAUCAUCUUAUGGUGAUUGCAAAGAAGCUAAGAGCAAAGCUCGACCAUCUAAUGGCAACCCUGAUCCAUCUGGAUCUUCUGAUAGCAGCCUUGGGCAAUCUUGUGGCAGCCAUGCACCAUCCAGGCCAUCUGAUUGCGGCCUUGGACAAUCUUGGCUAUCUGACAGCAGCCCCGGACCAUCCGAUGGCAGUCCUGGACAACCUAGACUGUCUGAUGGCAGCCAUGCAGAUGGUAGCCCUGAACAAACUGGAGCAUCUGGCAUCUGCCCUGUACAAUCUGGUCUGUAUGUCUUCGCUGAUCCAUCUGGUCUGUAUGUCUUCCCUGAUCCAUCUGGAUCUUCUGAUAGCAGCCUUGGGCAAUUUGGUGGCAGCCAUGCAUCAUCCAGGCCAUCUGGUUGCAGCCUUCGACAAUCUUGGCUAUCUGACGUCAGCCCCGGACCAUCUGAUGGCAGUCCUGGACAACCUAGACCGUCUGAUGGCAGCCAUGCAGAUGGUAGCCCUGAACAAACUGGAGCAUCUGGCAUCUGCCCUGUACAAUCUGGUCUGUAUGUCUUCCCUGAACAAUCUGGGCUAUCUGCCGUCAGCUAUAUAUCAAGUGUGAUUAGCAGCGCAAUUGAAUCUCUCAGGAUGGCGAUCCUAUUUGCACGAUCUGGCAGCAUCCAUCCUUUGAGUCAUCAUCCACUUGGACCUGUGCGCAUACAUGCUCCUUUGGUUCCUCUACUUAGACCAUCUGAUGGUAGCCCUGAACAAACUGGAAAAUCUGGCAUCUGCCCUGUACAAUCUGGUCAUCCUUUGAGUCAUCAUCUACUUGGACCUGUGCGCGUACAUUCUCCUUUCGGUUCCUCCACUUAG